UUUUUCUUUUUUCAUUUUGUCAAAUUUAUCUUGAAGGAUUGGUUUCUUUUCUAAGAAAAAUUGUUGAGAAGAUGAUUCGUGAUUUUUGGGUCAAUGCUGUUUUUGUGUCUUCGAAAAUGUGAAAAGAUGUCAUUUUGGGUUUGGGUUUUUGAUGAUAGGCUCCGUUUGGUUGUUGGGAAAAGGCGAGAAAACAACUGAACAAGUGCUUUAAAUCUUUGUUCAAAGUUGAGAGAUUAUGAAUGUCUACUCGAAUCAGCCUCAUAUAGUUAUUGGUUUUCUUUUGUUUUUUAAACAAAUUUGCUGAGAUGAUUCAUGGAUUCUGUUUCGUUUCUCUCCUUUGUUUUUCCUCCCUUUUUCUCAUAAACCAAACGAAGGGUGGGUGCAUGAUUUGUGUGGUAUAUGCUGGGCAAUGUUUAGAGUACUUGGAUUUUGAUUCGUUUAAUAGAUAUGUUGUUGGGCAAAAUUGUGUGGCCCGAUUGCCCAAUAGGAAGAAGAGGGUAAUAUUUGAUUGGAGUUGGUCUGAGAUCAUGAUUUCUGUUAUGUUGAAAGAUAUUACAAAAAAAAAAAAAAUUCAAAAUUUGGGAGUCUCAGUUGCCAUAUUGUGACAAAUUUUUUCGAAUGAGUAAUUUUUAAAGUCUUAGAUGAUUGCAAAAAAAAAAAAAAAAGUUUAUUUGCUGCCCAGACCAGACAUAAAAUUUGGGAAUUAAUGCAUUGGCAUUUCCUACAUUGAUUUCCACGAAAACUCUCAGCAAUGAGGGUAUACUUGCUUUUUCUGUUAGACGUAUGGACUAUAUAAUAUUUAUAAUUUUUUAAACCAGGAUCUACAUAUGACUUGGCUGGGCCUCUAGUUCAAUCAACUUGUUUGGGUUUUUAUGUGCAACGCUUUGACUAGAUUAGGUCAUAUGAUUUUCUCCAUUAUUUUGGUAAAUUAAUACACUAAAUGAGAAUGGUUUUAACUCCAGUUGCACUGGAUAAUUUUUUAUUCCUUUAUAAAGUAAAAGUGUCCCUUUUUGCAGGUUUGUGUUUCUUCUGCGGAUCCAGCAGCAUUCCCAGGUGCUGUUGAAGCAGGGGCACUGAUGGUGAGGCCACAAGCUUGUUUACGGUUACAGUGUCAAAGGAUGACAGUGUCAUUCUUGAUGGGGCUGGUGAGAAGAAGGCCAUAGAAGAAAGAUGCACACUGCUGAGAUCUGCAAUUGAGUUGAGUACAUGACUACAUCAAAUAAUUGAAGGUCGAUGCAUUGGCUGGAUUGAGAUCUUCCAAAAUGCCACCGUCCGACACCUAGGCGUACUUGACGCCAUCCGAUCCAUUGCCGAUCGGGACCCUACCUAGCGCAAACUCUUCAUUCGCAGCCUUGGAUGGGACGCUACUAUCAAGAACCUCCGCAAUCUCUUCUCCACCUAUGGUGACCUCGAAGAAGCCAUCGCGAUCCUUGGCAAGGUCACUAGAAAAAGUAAAGGGUACAGGUUUAUUACGUUCAAGCACGUCAAUGGCGCUUUACUCGCGUUGAAAAAGCCAUGUAAGAAAAUUGACGGACGAAUAACCGGGACCCAGCUUGCGAUAUUGGGAAAUUCCGGAUCUAAUACGAAUCCGACUACAAUUGAUGUUUCUAUGCACAAGAUUUAUGUAGCCAAUGUGCCUAUUCUCAAGGUGGUCGUGAUCAAAAAUCGUGAAGGUCGUUCAAUUUUUGGCUGCAACACUUCUGAUUAUGACAAGGAAAAGUUGUAGGAGAGGCUUGCAAAACUUUUUGGUGGUGGUAUUGUUUUGAAGAAGUGCUGCAAAGUUAAAAGUGCAUCUAAUCAAGCUUCAAAGGACUUGGUGGUUUCCAAAAGUGGUGCAUUUGUAGUUGCUCCAUCCAGAGGCAAGACUUUGCGUGGCUUCGAAGAUGAGAAAUUUUGCUUUGUUGCUUUCAAACGAGGACAACGGCCAUAUGUAGUUGCAGCAAAGUUAUCAAUAGUUGGUGAGAAGAAAUUCUUACCAUGGCUACUAAUGACCCCAUCAUCAACCAGUUUUGGGAUGCUAUAUUGCAAGGCCAACAUGGCAGCUGCGGCUGGCAAGAAGGCUGCUAAUCGUAUCCCCAUCUUUUUGGCAACUUCCAGAGCCCAAGCAGCAGUUAUAUCAGCUACAACACAAGCAACUUUGCCAACUCCGGAUGCACUGAUCUCCUCUAUGAGCUCCUGCAGUUUCCUGGGCAUAUGCCGAAAGAUUGCUUCGAUCAACUUCCCUGGCUCAUUCCUGGUUUCCCCAUAUUCCAACCCGAGUGCAACAGAGACCAGGCGAAUCUGACCCGCUAAGUUAUUCCUCAUUCUCAUUGCAUCCCCAGCCUGCCUAUGAUUGAACUCGAUGUUUACAAAUGUAAUAUUGAAACCCUGCUUGGCUAAGCAUCUUGAGAGCUCCAUCAGGGGAAUUUCAUGGCCUUUUGCAGGAUGAGGCACCACUAUGACAUGAGGAUUGCCCAUUUCCAGUUCCUUCCUUUUACUCUGUCUGCAGGUUUUGGGCUGAUAGCUCUACUUGUAGAUUGUGCUAAUUGAUGUCAAGUUAAUCUCUAUUGAAGGGGGGCUUGGAAUUGUUGGAGUGUGGUUGCGGAUCUAGUUGUCUUUUCUUUAGUACUUAUGCUAGUGGUUGAUUAUGAUCU